UGAAGACCAAACCCUUCACU
rnacentral:snRNA from 1 species